UACAGAGGUCCCGAGCGUUGUUCGGAUUCAUUGGGCGUAAAGGGUGCGUAGGCGGUUUUCUAAGUUUGAUGUGAAAUCCCGGGGCUCAACCCUGGAAUUGCAUUGAAUACUGGGAGACUAGAGUCCUGGAGAGGAAACUGGAAUUUACGGUGUAGCAGUGAAAUGCGUAGAGAUCGUAAGGAAGACCAGUGGCGAAGGCGAGUUUCUGGACAGGUACUGACGCUGAGGCACGAAGGCCAGGGGAGCAAACGGG
rnacentral:rRNA from 1 species